GCCAUGGUGACAGAGGUGUUGCCAUCUGAGCCCUGUAGCAAGGAAACCAGUCAUAGGGCCUGUGCCUACCUGCUUUCCCUGUGAAAGGGAAGGAGGAGGAUGAUCACAUGUCCUGAGCAUUUCCUAUGGGCCUCCUAGGGCUAGGUGCUUCUGUGUUGAGGCUCAGAAGAUGGAAGUCACAGGUUCAAGAUCACAACCAGAAUCAUGGCAUGACCUGGAUGCCAUGAAACUGCUUUACCUGCCAGGAUGCUCUCCAAGGCCCCUCAGACCAGUGAUAGCACCUCCUUCUGCAUGUGCCGACUUCACACUUGGCAUACACAGCCCUGGACCUGGUGUGGUGGGAGGGGACAGGGACAUCCUGGCUUGGUCAUUUGACAGCACUAGAAGUGAGCUAUAGAAGAGAACCACGGACUAGCUUUUCAUGUCCACAACUCUAAGAUGGGAAGGGCUAUGUGCCUCACAGGGUGGCUUGAGAGCCAAGGGAGGUGACACAGAAAGCCACAGUUUCUAAAACUUGGGAAGGGGUGGCUGGACUCAGGUGAGCUUGCAUCCUGUUGACCUCUUUUCCUGGUGUGCAAACUCAUUUCUGAAUCUUACUUUUGUCAUGGGGUUGGGAGGAUUAAAUGACAAACUUUAUAUGAAGAAGCACUUGACAUUGUAUUAGUAGAUGUUUAACAAAGUGAACCAGCUAGAACAUUUUUACUAUCAUCCAUAAGUGAUCAGUAGAAGAGGGAUGGAUGGAUGAGUGGAUGGAUGUUUAGAUGGGUGGAUGGAUGGAUGGGUGGAUGGGUGGAUGAGCAGGUGGAUGGAUGGAUGGAUGGAUGGAUGGUGGACAGGUGGAUGGAUGGAUGGGUGGAUGAGCAGGUAGAUGGAUGGAUGGAUGGAUAAUGUAUGGGUAGAUGAGUGAGUGAGUAGGCAGAGAGGUGGUUGAAUGGAUAGAUGCAUGGAAGGUAGAUGGAUGAAUGAGUAGAUGAGUGGAUGGAAGGAUGGAUGAAAUGGCACUUAUAUAUACUAGAGUUUUUCCCAGG
rnacentral:lncRNA from 1 species